GGGCACUCAGCCACUGAGCCACAUCCCAACCCUGUUUUGUGUUUUAUUUAGAGACAGGGUCUCACUGAGUUGCUUAGGGCCUCACUUUUGCUGAGUCUGGCUUUGAACUCUCGAUCCUCCUGCCUCAGCCUCCUGAGCCGCAUGCCCCACUGCAUCCAGCUGCAAUUCCUGUUUGUUUAUUGCCAGGGUGCCUCAGACAGUGGGAUCAGGUGUUUUGAAAAUGAGAACCAAAGGAAGUUUUUCCUCUUCCUUCAGGGUGCUGAGACUGUUAAACCUUUCUCUCUCUCUCUUUUAUUUUUUUCCUGCUUGCUGAAUAGUAUUUUCUAGAAAAGAAGCGAGACAAGUCAAAUCUAUUGAGAGAGUCAAGAAUAUGUCUUCCCUGGUGAUGGGUCCACUCAACCCAGCCAGAACCAGACAUCUAAUUUUUACAAAUGUUUAUGUAAGUAGUCACUUCCAGUAUGUUCUAGCUAAUUGUAAGUUAUUUGGUCAUGCGCAUUCAUUCCAUCAUUGUAUCUUCAGAAGUGGCUCUCGAGGGAAUGCAGGGGGCUCGGAUCACUCUGAUAAUGUCUGUGGUUACGUUUGACUGAUUUGCCUCUUAGCUGCACCAUGUCUCCAUGGAAUUCCAUUUGAGAGAGAUUUAAAAAUUAAACAUCAUGAAUAUUCAACAAAGCUGCCUGAAAGUUCAGCUCCAAGUGACUUAAUCACCGUCUUUGCAAGUUUUCCUUGAAGAAGCCCUUGUUGGACCCAGGGAAGCAUUUUUAUUCUAGAUUGAAAAAAAAAUUAAAAGUUAAAUGUGAAUAUGGUGUUGAACAAUUCUAUGAAAUGUUGAAUUUUAAUGUCCCUGGAAAAACGUUUCACCCUGGCAGGGCUUUUGCUUUUUGAAGACAAGGUUGUUUCUUAAUGUCAUCUCUGCUGGUGGACACACUGCAUUAGUUUCCAGGGAACAUAGGGCCAAUUCAGAACAGAUAUGCAUUAAGUCCAUUUUAGUCUUCUUUGCUCUGAUUCAGAAGAGAGAAUCGUAAGUCACAAAAAGUCCCUUUCACAUCCUAAUAGCUGGAAUAGAACGAACAAAGGUGUUCAGAAAGAUUACCCCAAAGUUGAAAAAAAGAGUACCAUGAGCCCCUUGGAAUUAUUAUCCACUAUUCGACCUCAAGCCUCCUGAACAAACAAUGUAGUAGUCUUAAAGGCAAAUGAGAAAAUUAUUUAGUUACUGAAGGUCUGCUCACUUGCCAAACAAGCAAGAGAAUCAAAACUGAGGUCAAUAGUAAGGGGCUGUGAGUUGGCGAUGUCAUUAGCCAGAGUCCCUUUGCCUAAGCUCCUGGUAAUUCAAAGACUAGGCCAUACUGGAUCAAGUCCAAAGCCAGGAGGUUUUGUACCAAUAUCUUCCCUGUGGUGGACAUUGCGGCUUUCCACCUAUAAUCAAAGAACAAUAUAUCCAUUCACCGGAGUGUAAUUAAUUAGAGAUGUCACUGCUGAAGAACCUAUACUAACAAUAGCACAGUACAGGUGUUCUUCAUUUUAUAGUUGAUAAAUACUUUUUCAUAAUCUUAGGACCUUGACCUAGGAGGGGAG
rnacentral:lncRNA from 1 species